CCUACGGGCGGCAGCAGUAGGGAAUAUUGCUCAAUGGGGGAAACCCUGAAGCAGCAACGCCGCGUGGAGGAUGAAGGUCUUCGGAUUGUAAACUCCUUUUGUUAGAGAAGAUAAUGACGGUAUCUAACGAAUAAGCACCGGCAAACUCCGUGCCAGCAGCCGCGGGAAUACGGCGGGUGCACGCUUUACUCGGAAUCACUGGGCGUAAAGAGCGCGUAGGCGGGAUAGGGAGUCAGAUGUGAAAUCCUAUGGCCUAACCAUAGAACUGCAGUUGAAACUGUUAUUCUGGAGUAUGGGAGAGGUAGGUGGAAUUCUUGGUGUAGGGGUAAAAUCCGUAGAGAUCAAGAGGAAUACUCAUUGCGAAGGCGGCCUGCUAGAACAUAACUGACGCUGAUGCGCGAAAGCGUGGGGAGCGAACAGGAUUAGAUACCCGUGUAGUC
rnacentral:rRNA from 1 species